rnacentral:rRNA from 1 species
CAGUAGCCGCGGGAAUACGUAGGUGGCGAGCGUUGUCCGGAAUUAUUGGGCGUAAAGGGAGCGCAGGCGGACAUAUAAGUCCAUCUUAAAAGUGCGGGGCUCAACCCCGUGAGGGGAUGGAAACUGUAUGCCUUGAGUGCAGGAGAGGAAAGCGGAAUUCCCAGUGUAGCGGUGAAAUGCGUAGAUAUUGGGAGGAACACCAGUGGCGAAGGCGGCUUUCUGGACUGCAACUGACGCUGAGGCUCGAAAGCCAGGGGAGCGAACGGGAUUAGAUACCCCUGUAGUCCCUGUCUCUUAUACA